rnacentral:pre_miRNA from 1 species
AAAAAAACAAACCCUAGAUUUUCGUAUCCAUUUUUAUUGUCCGUCUUAUAUGAAAUUUUUUUAUAAUUCGUAUUUUCGUUGUUGUUACAUGAUUAAUAUUUUAUGUGUGACUUGUCUUUUUAAUUUUUUUAUAAUUUUUUUAAAUAAGACGGACGGUGAAAUGUUAAAUACGAAAACU